GUUGUGGGACCGAGCCUCUGACACCGGGCUGCUGGCUCUUGGCAGCCCGAAGCUGAACUCCAAGCUGACAGUAGCACUGGACUGUGGACGUAGGACUUGCACACCUGAAGAGUUAAGAGCUUGCUCAUGGUAGGGCCUCGAGAGCGCCACGACUACGUGUCCCAGAAAGCCGUGCGCCCGGGUUCUCCUUCCGGCUAGCUUCUCCUGACUUCCUGGCAGCCCAAGGCUGCCCAGACCGGGACGGAAACUCCGAGGCAACUCCUCACUUGUCGGAGAUCCUGCUUGUGCGACCCAUUUCCGCACAUGCGCGGUCCAUGCCGCAGUGCCCACUCGACGCCUAGGUAGCUGCGCUGCCCGUCCGCCAGUGUCUGAUGGCAGGGGCAGAUGGUGGAGACAGGUCGUUUACUCUGGAGGAAGUGAGCUGCCGGGUCAUAGGGACAAUCAAGCAGUCCUGUGGAUGGGUCCAUGUGAAAACACUAACACGGGGCACGAGGAAUACUACGUGGGCCUCUCGGAGAUGGGCAUUGCACGGUGGCUCCAUUGUGAGGCUAGGUGACCCCACCAGUCCCCAUCCAGAAAAGCACAGGGGCGCUCUGAGGGCUCAGGCGGCACUGAGCAGGGACGCAGCAACUCCUUGAAGGGCGAAGGUGAUGCGAAGGACAAGACACAAGAGGAAUGAUCACAGACUUUCACCUGAACCAUGAAACUGGCAUUUCACCUAACACUUUCUCACAUGCCAGGCUACAAACAGAAACACUGUAAGCAAAGCCCAAAGCAGCCCUGUCUGACGGUUUCCAAUGCCGGCCUGGUCUGGUAGAACUAGGUCUAUGUUCUGCAGUUACACUGCUGCUAGUUCAUGUUUCCCCAGCACCUGUGCACCAAAGAGACUAAAAGGAGACAAUUGUUUUGCUUGUCUCAUUCGUGAGAGACCUGAAAAAUGUCCUAUCUGGGUCAAAUUCUGCAGUAGGCAAGUAAAAUGCUCACUAACCUGAGAACCAUUGCUAGUUCCAAGAGCAUCUUUACUGCAUAGUUAAGAUUUGGGCAGUCCCCUUUUCCUGUUGAAGGGGGGCUGCCCCUCCCUUCCCAAGCAUCUAGUUAUAACCAAUGUUGAGAAAAUGUCCAGGGAAUUGCUUUAGACAGACAGAGUAUACGGAACCUUAACCUAGCUGGGCGCAGUGGCACGUGUCUGUCGUCCCAGCUACUCUUGAGGUUGAAGGGGGGGAAUCAGUUGAGCCACGAGUUUGAGAUCAACCUGGGCAACAUAUGAGAGACCCUGUCUCAAAGAAUUUUUUUUUUUUUUUUUUUUUUUUU